UCAAUCUCCCAACUAGGUAUUUAAGAUUUAAAAAUGCUGAAAUUUUGCCCAUAUUUUCCCCAUAGUUCUUUUCUCCUUCCUCUCUCUUCACUCUCUUUUUCUCCAUAACCGUUGCUUCUCCACCGCCGCCGGAAAUCGCCCACCGGCGGCCGACCACCUCCAAAUCACCCCAAAAUCUCACCAUACAAUCUCCACUACCUACUUUUUACAUAUCUCCAAACCAAAUCCUUAAUAAAACCCUCAAACUCCUUGAAUUUUAGAUCUAGGAAACUUUAGCCGCAACUUUUUUUCCCAAAUUCUUGAAGUUCUGGCCACUAACACUCCGCAAUACCUACAUCAACGGAUAGAGUUCCUCAAGACCUACCUAUUGAUUUCAAUUCUACACCAAAAAUCCGGUCCCUAAAAUCCGGCCAAAUUCCGACGGCCUCCCCGAAUGCCCUCGUUUGGCAAGUCACCAUUUUUCGGCCACUUGAAUUUUAAAAUGGUAAAAAUACUAUUCUUUUUUCAUGGUUGAUUUUUUUUAUUUUUAUUUUUCUUUCAGAUUUUAUUUUGUCUCUUAUUAAUUAUUUUAGCAUUAGUUUUGAAGUGCUAAAGUUUCUGUUUUUGCAUUUGUUGAAGUAGUAGAAUAGUUUUAGAGUACUUGAAUGUAGGGUCCGUGUUUGGUUGCUUUCAUUGUUGCGGGCUGUUUCAAGUAUAAUACUCCAAAAAUUUAUCCCUAGUUGGUAAAAGAAGACUGUUUCUUGGACAGAUUUUUGGUUUUGGAUAGAUUUUACGUCAAAAAAGUUAUCAUUUUGGACAGAUUUUUGGUAAAACAAAAUCUGUCCCAAAGUCCUUUCUCCUCUUAUCUUUGAUUACAUCUUGGACUCUAGAAAUACACAUCUUUGACACACUCCUUCACACAUCUGCUAGGCAUUUUUACACACUGAAAAAAUAUACUUUUAGCAGUAAAAAUCAGCAGCUGAACUUAAAGAAAGCAAGUUGAAAUUGUGAGUUUUAUGAGUGCUUCUUAGAGUAAAAACUCUUUUAAAAAAGAAUAAGUCUUUUAGAGUUGAUUUCGGGUUUCUUCUCUAAAGGUUUUGGUGCUAUCUGGAUACAAAUUUGUUGCUGUUGUUGCUCGUUUUCAUUGCUAUUUUUCUGCUAUUUUGUUGUUGUUUCUGCUCAUCUCAUUGUUGUAUUUUUAUUCAGCAAACCAGGUAAUUCCUACAUCUUUGUAUUGCAGAUUUUUGAUAGUAAUAAGAAGAUUCGAACUUGUCCGGAUGGCUGAAGCAUGUUGUACUUGGUGUUUGCUUAAGAAUAAAUGUUGUACCAAUGUAUAAGAACAUGUAAAUAUGCAGUAGUUAUGGCUUUUAAAAGAUAACUCUCUACUUAUUGUUGUCUAGUUGUUGAAAGUCCAUAUCUCACCUUAUUGCACUUAAAAGUCUUUAAUUUACUUUACGUAAGCAUAUUGUAGAUAUGAUCUAAUUUCUCUUGUUUACUGUGUUCACACCUUUAUUAGCUUGCUUUGGCAUUUCCUUGCUUAGUUAAUUUGUUAACAUUUCCU
rnacentral:lncRNA from 1 species